rnacentral:lncRNA from 1 species
UAUUUUGCUCCAAUAAGACUAGUCCUUCUAGUGUUAAACAUUUUAUUCUUGCCAAAAUACAAAUAUUCCCUUGAAGGAUUUAUACUUUUUAAGUUGGUUAUCAGCCAUUUAUACUUUUCUAUGCAUGAAUUCCAACUCCCUUUCUAAGAAAAAGAUUUAAAAGAAAUAAUUCAAUUCAAUAUUCAUUAAACUCACUAUGCCAUGGCACUGUGUAAAGUAUUUUGGGAAACAAAGGCAAAAAAUGAAAAAAAAAUCUCUGCCCUUAAGGAAGAAAGCAUAGGCAUACUGGUUCCAGGAGAGGUGUACAGGUGUAUUUGUUAAAGCAAACUCAAAUUUAUUUCCUCCCAAAGGGUAUGCAGAUUCUGUAAUAAAUGCCUUCUUGACUCUCAAGCUCAGCUGAUUGACUAGCCAUAUUCCAAGACUCCUACCCAAGUUCCCGGUAGGAUUGCUACUUUUCACCUUUUGAAGGAUGAUGAUUGAGGGCUUUCAACAUCCAAAGCUUUCUUUUGGUCCCACUAAAGGACAAGCCAAGAUGCAAGAUUGGGGAACUGUCUGUCAAUCAAGAAGAAGGUUCCAAAGGGAAUGUUCCCAGGAGAGGGAGCUGGGAGCCAUAGACAGGGAGAGAAACUGGGACUUGGGACUCUCUUUCUCUCUCUGGGGUUUUUUUGAACUGAGGAGACCUUGGCUUUGGGCUCUCUGACCAAAGGAGUAACUGAUUCUGUCUCUCUGGGGGUUGACUGAUCAAGAGAGAUUUCCUUGUUUUCUGGCUGAAGGGAGGAGAAGCUGAGAACUGAUCCCUGUUAGCUUCUGCCCCUGGCUGAAGAACCCUUGUGGUGGGGCUUGUGAAAUUAGGCUGAGAGACCUUUGGUGGUUUUGUGGAGAAGAAAAGAAGAAAGAAGAUUUAAAACAGUUGUCCUCCAUCUCUCUGGCUGUCCCUGAGUCACAAUUGUGACAAGACUGACAAUUUCCAUAACCGUCCUAAAUUCUCCUUAUAGAUUAGGGACACCUCUAUCCCCUUCACCUCAGUUUCCCAUUCUGUUGUUUCCCCAUAAACCCCUUACCUGAGAAAGAAAAAAGAGUAUCUUUAUAGUCCACUCAGGGGGGAGGGAGGAAGCCUAAGGCUUCAAGAAGUGAGGUGGUUAAAGGAGGGGAGUGAGGGAGGAGGAGGGUAGGAAAUAGAUUGAUCCAUUAGCCUUCAAAUAGGGAUCAGUAGGCAAACCCCAGAGCAUUCCCCUGUAGCAGUAUCUCUGAGCGUCUCACAAAGUACAUCCCCAAUGUAACAAGGCAUCCCUCAGGUGUGUCCCCAUACUAGCAGCUCUCUCCAGUCCCAAGCCAGAAUAUAUACCAGUUAGAGCAACAAGAAAUAGUCACACAGAUUAUCUUUUUUAUUACAAUAUAUAUACAUAUAUAUACAUUAUAUAUAAUAUGACUGUGGCAUAAGAAACUUCAUAUAAAGAGUUUAGAGAAGCAUGAUGAUUCAUAUGAACUAAUGUUUGGUGAAGUUGUUGGGACCACAAAAAAACAAUAUGCACAAAGGUAACAUUGUGAACCAAAAAAGAAAAUGAACAUUGUAUAAUUAUAAUUACCUGGUUGGGCUCUUAGGAGAUGAGAACAUGUAAUUUUCUCUUUUCUUUGUAGAGGUUAGUGUAGAUUGGAAUGUCACACUGAGUAUGCUGCCUGACUCAGGUAAUAAGUUGACU